UACAGAGGGUGCGAGCGUUAAUCGGAAUUACUGGGCGUAAAGCGCGCGUAGGCGGCUUUGCAAGUCGAGUGUGAAAUCCCCAGGCUCAACCUGGGAACUGCAUUCGAGACUGCAUAGCUAGAGUAUGGGAGAGGGAAGUGGAAUUUCAGGUGUAGCGGUGAAAUGCGUAGAUAUCGGGAGGAACACCAGUGGCGAAGGCGACUACCUGGCCUGUUCUUGACGCUGAGGCGCGAAAGCUAGGGGAGCAAACGGG
rnacentral:rRNA from 1 species